rnacentral:rRNA from 1 species
GACGAACGCUGGCGGCGUGCUUAACACAUGCAAGUCGAACGGAAAGGCCCUGCUUGCAGGGUACUCUAGUGGCGAACGGGUGAGCAACACGUGUGUGAUCUGCCCUCCACUUCGGGAUAAGCCUGGGAAACUGGGUCUAAUACCGGAUAGGAGCCAUUUUUAUUGUGAUGGUUGGAAAGUUUUUUCGGUGUAGGGUGAGCUCGCGGCCUAUCAGCUUGUUGGUGGGGUAAUGGCCUACCAAGGCGGCGACGGGUAGCCGGCCUGAGAGGGUGGACGGCCAAAAUGGGACCGAGAAACCGCCCCGACUCCCAAGGGGGGGAGCAGUGGGGAAUAUUGGACAAUGGGCGCGAGCCUGAUGCAGCGAAGCCGCGUGGGGGAUGACGGCCUUCGGGUUGUAAAAUCCUUUCGCCAGGUAAGAAGCUUUUUGUGACGGUAACUAGAUAAGAAGCACCGGCUAACUACGUG